rnacentral:rRNA from 1 species
CUUGACCUCAAAUCGAGUAGGACUACCCGCUGAACUUAAGCAUAUCAAUAAGCGGAGGAAAAGAAACUAAACAAGGAUUCCCCUAGUAACGGCGAGUGAAGAGGGAAGAGCUCAAAUUUUGAAUCUGGCGUCUUCGGCGUCCGAAUUGUAAUCUAGAGAAGUGUUUUCCGUGACGGACCGUGCAUAAGUCUCCUGGAAUGGAGUGUCAUAGAGGGUGAGAAUCCCGUAUAUGGCACGGACUCCCGUUGCUCUGCGAUACACUCUCGACGAGUCGAGUUGUUUGGGAAUGCAGCUCUAAAUGGGUGGUAAAUGCCAUCUAAAGCUAAAUAUUGGCGAGAGACCGAUAGCGAACAAGUACCGUGAGGGAAAGAUGAAAAGCACUUUGGAAAGAGAGUGAAACAGUACGUGAAAUUGUUGAAAGGGAAACGCUUGAAGUCAGUCGCGCCGUUCGGGAUUCAGCCUUGCUUCUGCUUGGUUUACUUCCCGUUGGGUGGGUCAACAUCAGUUUCGGUCGGAGGAGAAAGGCUUGGGGAAGGUGGCAGCAUUCGUGCUGUGUUAUAGCCCCUUGUUGUAUACUUCGACUGGGACUGAGGACCGCAGCACGCCUUUGGCCGGGGUUCGCCCACGUACGUGCUUAGGAUGUUGGCAUAAUGGCUUUAAGCGACCCGUCUUGAAACACGGA